AUUACACUUUUCGUCCUUUAUGUUUGUAGCGGGUUGCAAUGGAUGAUCUUUAACUUCAAUAAUUACAGUCACAAUCCUUUAUUUAGAAAACUCAUUACACCUUUCGUCCUUUAAGACUAACCAGGUUAAAAAUUUAAGUUAAAUCCAUUCAUUUAAGGGUAUCAUGGUCAUUUCAUGCUUUUAUUUAAAUUUUUCUUAAUAAAUAAAACAAAAAAUUACAUAUAUAACAUAUCUCCCCCAUUUCUCCCCCAAUUCCUAACCCUAAUAAUAACUCAUCCAUCUUCAUCCAUUGCUUCUUUCUCCUUCUUCACCCUAUCACCAGGCAUAACUAUCUUCGACUCCUCAUCUUUAUAAUUCAAAAUCGAAGUCACCUUCCCCGUCACAUCAGUAGUCCUCAUAUAAAACUACGGUCUAUACCAUCAACAGUCUCAGGUACAAGUAUAACUAUCAAAAGGUUUGUUGUGGAGAGAGGGAGAAAGAAGCAUGGAGAGAGGGAGAAAGAGGGAGAAAGAAGAGUAAUUAGGGUUAGGAAUUAGGGGAGAAUUGGGGGAGAUUUAUUUAUUAAGAAAAAUUUAAAUAAAAGCAUGAAAUGACCAUGAUACCCUUAAGUGAAUGGAUUUAACUUAAUUUUUUAA